GACGAACGCUGGCGGCGUGCCUAAUACAUGCAAGUCGAGCGAAGUUUUUCUGGUGCUUGCACUAGAAAAACUUAGCGGCGCACGGGUGAGUAACACGUAAAGAACCUGCCUCAUAGACUGGGACAACUAUUGGAAACGAUACCUAAUACCGGAUAACAGUAUUUCUCGCAUGAGAGAUAUUUAAAAGUUGUUUAUGCUAACACUAUGAGAUGGCUUUGCGGUGCAUUAGCUAGUUGGUGGGGUAAAGGCCCACCAAGGCGACGAUGCAUAGCCGACCUGAGAGGGUGAUCGGCCACACUGGGACUGAGACACGGCCCAGACUCCUACGGGAGGCAGCAGUAGGGAAUCUUCCGCAAUGGGCGAAAGCCUGACGGAGCAACGCCGCGUGAGUGAAGAAGGAUUUCGGUUCGUAAAGCUCUGUUGUUAGGGAAGAAUGGAUAUGUAGUAACUAUACAUGUAAGAGACGGUACCUAACCAGAAAGCCACGGCUAACUACGUG
rnacentral:rRNA from 1 species